GAUGCUGGAGUAUUGAAUGCCUUGCGACCACAUGAAAAUUUGGACUCUUUAGCAAUUUGGUUGUAUCAUGGCCCCACCUGGCCCAAUUGGAUGACGCCGUCGUAUUUAACCAGAUUGACAGUCUUUCAUCUUUGUUACCGCGACUCCUCUGGUUUGCCUCCUCUCGGGAAACUGCCGUCCCUUAAAGUAGUAAAGCUACAUUGGGUGUAUGAUCUGCAAGAGAUCGGAGCUGAAUUUUACGGAGUAGAAGAAGAAACAUCAUCAUCAUCAUCCUUCCCAAGUUUGGAAACACUCUAUCUUGGCGGCUUGCCGAGUUUAGCAAAGUGGGAAUUAGGUGGAAAGGCAGAAGAGGGUUCUUCUAAUUCCCAAAUGAAAUUGUAAUGCCACGCCUUUCUUCCUUGCAUAUUGUCGAGUGUCGUAAUCUAAAACAACUGCCGGACUUCCUCCUGCAAAAUGCACCACUGCAGAAUCUUCUCAUCCAUGGUCGCAACAGCUUAAUUGGCAGCCUUCCAGACGAGUUCAUCUCUCACAUCCCAAACGUCACAAUUACUGCAACUACCUCUAUUUCCGGAGAUGAUUCCUUUUUCAAAGGAAGAAAAAUAGAUAGUGAUUUAUAUGGUUAAUAUAUGAUCGAUGAGGUUCUGCAAAUGGAGCAAAGGUAGCUGAGCAAAUAAGGACAGCAGGAGGAUCGUUGAGCUGUGAUACACACCACUCGGGAAACUUGUCUUGUAUUGAGGCAUCCAUUUGAUUGAUUGAUGUGCUUUUCAUGAUUCACAGAUUCGGCCUAAAUUAUAGGACUAUCCCUUGAACGACGAUAUGAACAAAAUGGCACUUCCAUAUCAAGAGGAUAAAAGUAUCACAUUAAUUGAGCAUCAUCAAGGAUCUUGCUUUUUAAGGCAGUGACAGAAGCCAAGAGCAUGCUCCAGGGUUGAAGAUCUUACUGGUUGCUUAUGAUACUUUUUUUGCCUCUUCCAGUAGUAUGGGCUCAGCAUUCAACUCCUGAUCAAGGGCAUUAAUUUGAAUUCACAUUUCUGGCUUCAUUCUUCACAUUACAAAAAAUAGUGUAUAUUCUAAAGUUUGCAGUUGCUGGAGUUCUCAAGACAUGAUGACACUCUGGUGGAUGUUAAGCAGACAUAAACACUUCUCUUGGCUUCUGGUAUGCAUUUGACUGGUUGGUCAGUUUCUUACAUACAUUAGGAGUACUUUCGAAGCUUUCCUAUGCAUAUAUUGGCGUGACUUGGCUCUUAACUAGACAUGGUAGUAAUUUGGCAUAUGUAUCUGAAGCAUUUCUGUAUAUGUAGCAGUUGAAGCUUGAAUUUGCACUUGUAGUGGAAGCUUUUUGUUGCAAGAUGUGACCCAUGGUCUCACUCGGUUUACUGUUAAGUUUCCAAAUGUCCCCUGAGAAAUAUGGCCCUGCCUUGACAAAGAUUCAAAUUUAGCAUAACUGGAGAAGCAUCAUAUAUAUCAUAGCGGUAGCAAAUUUGCUUUAAAUUGAACAACAUGGAGUUUCCUCUUUUUGGACCUGUCUGAAGCAGUGAUGCACUAGCAAGUAGCAAGGAAAACUGUCUACCAUUGUCAUCCAUUUGAACAGUGGAUGAGACUUACCUAAAUAUCAGAUUUCCAUGGAUUUUAUAGCACGGAAGAGAGGGAAGAGUGGAUGUGACCCAAACCAAUCUCAUUUAAAUUCACCAAAAGGACAAAUGAUGUAGGGGAUGUUCAAUGAGGGUUGUGGCUCAAAACAGCUUGGACAUGGUGAAAACUGAUUGAAAAUCCUGUUGGAGUCCAGUGGAAUCAAAUUCUAGAAAAAAGAAUCACAAAAAAGCGGAAGAACAGCAUGACAAGGGCUUUGUCAGCAGUGGAACACUAAGCUGAAGUCCAAAAGGUAGAAAGACCUUCAGAGUAGCAGUGGAUCAGCAUAACAUGACACUCAUGUAGUCUUUAUGGCAUGCAAAACUGUGUAACUUACCUUCAAUUAUGAACCAUGGAAUUCAUAAUCUUGUAAGCCAUUACAUACAAAUUCUUCUGCUAUGGAUCUGAUAUAAAUCAAAAUCUACUGUGUACGAAUGUAGAAGCAUGGAGACUCCAAAAUCGCAGCAGAGUUGUCAAGCUGGUGAUUAAUCAUUAAUGAGAUGAGCGUCUCUUUCACCACUGAAGCAUAACUGACUCGAUCAGGUUCUACAAACGAAGCAAAGGACGAUUGUCAAGCAGUGAUACACCAUUUCGGAAAUUGUCUUGCAUCCUCGCAUCCAUUUGACUAUUGAUGUGCUUUCCACAAUUCUGCCAGAAGUAUAGCACAUGCAUUUUAUGGAGGACUUGUCUGAAGAACGGAUGCACUAGCAAAGGAAAACUGUCUAGUAUUCUUUUAUCCAUUUGAUCAGUGGAUGAGGAUUACCUAAACUAGCAUGGAAGAGAGUAAGAGGGGAUGUGACCCAAACCGAGCUGAUUCACAUUCAACCAAAGGACAAAUGAUGUAGGGGAUGUUCAAUGAGGGUUGCAGCUCAAAACAGCUUGGACAUGGUGAAAUCCUGAUUGAAGUUGAAUCCUGUUGGACUAGUGGAUCCAAAUUCAGGAGAAGAUUCACGACUGAGAGGAACAGCGUGUCACGGGCAUCGUCAGCAAAGGAACAGUAAGCUACAGUCCCAAAGGCUGCAAGGUUUUGAUUUCUUCUUUCACAAGGAGAGGGGACUUGUUCUAGUAGUACUAGGAUUGUGAAGAACCUAUAGAUAAAUUAAAAUAAGAGAUGCUUCCCUAAGAGAUUUACUUUGGGAGGAAUACCUGUGAGGUUUUUCUUAGGUGUAAUUGGGGCUCUCUAUUGAGAGGGGUUGAGAGGAGUGAGAUUACCUAGAGUGGUUUAUAAUUGUAAGUUGUAACCUUCUUUAUUAGUUGAUUCAUCAUCAUCAUGGUCGCCCGAGGAUGUAGGCAAUUUGGCCGAACUUCGUUAAAUUAUUGUG